UGUAUUAAAAAUGAAGUUCAUUGUGUGUAUGCAUAUACACAUAUGCAUACACGUUUGCACACAUGUAAGCCAUCAAUAUC
rnacentral:miRNA from 1 species